CUAUAUUUGUCUCAUCACUAUGAAAAACAAGGUUAGUAAAAUGUUCCAUGUCGAUAUAUCAUUCUUGUGUGGGUAUGCACCGUUACAAGGGGAGUUUCUUCUAACCAUGUCAUUUAAUUCAAAUGCAAUCCUAAAAUAAGACAUGGGUGUCGGGGCCGGAUUUCCGGGACAUAAAUCCCAGUAAACAACCAUUGUGUCAUCACCAGCCCCAGGAUUACUGUUGCUGGUGGACAUUUCCUUGAUAUAGAAUUCCAAGCAAUUACAAGAGAUUGGAUACAAGACCACAAAGGUCCAAUGAAUAUAACAAGGAUCUCUAGUGGUGGAUGACGGAAGCGACUCGUGGAUCUCCAAUGUUGAUGGGACUCCAUUCCCACGGGAACAGCUGACCUGGAUAACUCCUAUCUCACGUGGCUGUUAUCUCCGAAUCCUAGGUUGCGGGGGAGUCUCCGUAAUGCUCCUCUCUGAGUCAUGAUCUGGCCAAGACAAUAGCCAGGGACAAGCCAGUGAGUACGUUUGAAUGUACUCGCAAACAUCAAGAACAAAAGAUAUACCGGAUACAUAUGCUCAUGAUGAAUUAAAUUGCAUGCAUGUGCUGACUGAGUAUUAAAGCAUGGCAUGACAAAUAUUCAUACAGAAAAUAAGUCAUGUUAUUAGUAAAUCAAAGAAAUGAAAUGGAACGUUGGGCGUUGGACCGCCCAAGAAAUUCUAAGAGAAAUGCCAAACAGGUGUCUAAAAGAGAAUCGGGCAAGACAAGACCGCCCGAGAACUCAAGCGGCGCCACGAGAGGUCUUGAAAAGAAAUGCCAAACGGGUGUCUAAAAGCGACACCUCGUAAGGUCUUGAAAAUGAAUGCCACAGUCUGGUGUCUGAGCGACGCCUCAUAAAGGGCUUAUAAGAAAAUAAUAACAUGAUUAUCCAGGUGGACUAGCCAUCCCAAGUGAUACUCAGAGAUGAAAAAAAUAAACUUGAGUAUCCCGGGUAGUCUAGCCAUCCCAAGAGAUACUCAAGGUUAAACAUAAGAGGAAAAGGUUAGUCCACAACAAUAUUCAUAUCAUCAAUAAUAUUCAAAAUGGCACCAUUAGUGACAAUAAUUACCCUGCAGAACGAUCCAUGAUCAAUUUAGUUAUUUCCUCCGGAGACUGACACUAAGACCGACACUUGACCAACCCAGACUGUAGUCCUUAACCAUGGACACGGCUAUUCGAAUAGAUAUAACUCUGCAGAGGGUGUACUCUUUACCCACGUGUAUAGGAUUUCUUUAGCCAGCACCGAGACGCUGACUAAUUCCCGUUACGGCCUUUGGAUUGAAAACAAACCUGACCAGCACACACCAGAUUAACUUUCCGGAUGCCAGGAAUCACCCAAAGCAUCGUUCAAGAGAAACUCUAAGGCGGGGAGACCAUCGUCUUGAGUAGCAUGGGAUCACUAUUAACAUGCGCGGAUUACAAGGGGUGCCCCCCUCUCGGCCCAGCCGGAUACACCCAUGCCCCCUGGCCCGAUGACUGGCAUUGCAGCCGAUACCUGGAAACCCUCAUCGUGACCUCUCUGUACGGUGUGUGCAGGGAAAGGGGUUAACAACUUACUGAACCGUACCCAGCCUGUGGCCGGGACAAGUGGUAGCACGAAACCAGUAUGGGGGUUACCGGAACAAGACCCGAUCUAUGGUCAACUCAGGAGGUUUAAGUUUGCCUACAGUGGUUCGCAUAAUAUAAAUCCUUGGCAGUACCCAACAGGAUAACCACCUGGUAUGUCCCAACAUACCCUCAAUGAUCACUCUCGUCACAACGAGAUUUCAGUCUCACAGUCACUUUUCUCGUGACUGAUUCUUCCUGCAAAUUAUCCUGGACCAACACAGGCACAUAUGGAACGUGAAAGUAACUGUACUCACUUAUACUUCAUGUUUAAGUGAACAGAAAAUACCAUCAAGGGGAUCAUGCAUGUAUGACCAACAAUAUGCAAACUCUAUAGGAAUUCAACAUGUUCAUAAUUCAAAUACACAUGCCAUAAAUAAUUAUGCAGUCACCAUAUCAUGUGUUCAAAAUGCUUGCCUUGAGCAUGCAGAAAUGUUGUGUGCACUCCAAAACUUUGAAAAUUAUAUCUCCCCUCCAUUUCCUAUUUUCAAAAUAUUUUAAUGACCACACAUUUCCAAAACAGUACAUAAAAGUUGUUUGGAAAUUUGUGAAAUAAAUACUAAAAUAAACUAGAUGAAAUUUGAGAGAUAACAGAAAAAGAGUCAAGUCAUUUAAAGUUUAUAUAAUUUUCCUAUGGAUUUACUAAGCUGAAAUAAUCAAGGAAAUAGAUUGUUUAUUAGAUCCAGCAAAAACCAGGCUUAGGAAAAAUGUUCACCCUAUCUGGAUAUAUAGAGCAUGAUUGUAGGAGUGGGCACAAAUUUGAAUCAUCAAAUUUUGAUGUGAAAUGGAUGCUGUGGAAUUAUUUGAAAUCUGGUGGACAAGAAAUAGGGAAACCGAUAUUACUGUGAUUGGCUGAGUAGAGACGCGCCCUGGCCGCGGUAUAGCCGCCUGGCGCUACUGGGCCAAGCCCAGUUGUUUGGCUGCGUGGGAGGGCUGCGACGCCGAAAGCGUAGUCCAAGAAAUACACUUUCCACGCAGGAAGGCAACUUCAACGGAACUCGUCUCCACUUAAGACGAGUUGGCACGGCGCUGAGUCACUGACGGUGGGCCCGCCCGGCCCACCGGUCAGGUUUGACCAGUCCACGCGCGCGCCGUCUCCUCCGACCGAACAGAGGCGGAGCUCCGGCGAUCGGUGCCGGUGAACGGUGGCACCGUUCGGAAAACCGAGGCCACCUUCGAGCUCAGGAGGUCGAGGCGAACCCGUGGGUACCCUCCUUGGUCGUCGGAGUGGACGGAGUCACCGGCGGCGAGCUCUUCGGUGGACGGUGGCGUCGGGUGGGAUUGAGCUUUCGCCUACGGCGGCUCCUGAGCAGAAUCGAGAGGUGGGUUGGAUUCGUGGGUGCUCCAGGGUGCUGUUGGUGAAGAGAGUGGAGAGGGGGAGGCCCUAAUGGCGUCGACAUGAACGAGAAAGAGGCGGCGGCCGUGGUUGCCGGAGUUGGGGAAGAUGACCCGCUCCGAUCGUUCUACCGCUAUGGGUGGGUUAGUGAGGGAGGGAGAGAGUUGGUGAUGUACUGCGAGGUCUCAGGGUAAGCUUUUAUAGUGCGAGGGGGUCGGCUCCGUGGUGUCCCGAGGAUAAGCACGGCGGCGGCGAUCAUUACGGCGCCAGGUGAGGCCGUUGAGGUCGGAAGAGUGGCCGGUGAGGACGGUGGCCGCCCGCAGUUACUCCUGGGAGGAGGUGGGCUGCUCGGGACGCGCCACGCGGGUCGGGCAGAGACGUGGCCGUGCGGGACUCGUCGGGCGGCGGUCUUGGUCGUCGUGGACGGCGGUGGACGGCGCUAGGGGCCAAGCGAGGGUGUCGGCGAGGUUCCAGGUGGUCGAGCCGAUCCAGAGGAGGAUCAGGAUGAGAGGGGGAGGCAGCAGCUCGGUGCCGAAGCAUGCCAAACGCGCGCUCUGGACAUGCUCCGGAUGUGCACGUAGCCUGCUCGAGAAAAUGCUUCAGAGGUCUAGGAGCCUCUGAUGCCAGUUCCACUUUCCAUAGAGUUGAUUUGGAGUAUACUAUAGCUAUUUGACAUGGUGGUUUGGUCAGAUGAGCAGAUGCCCAAUGCAAGUUUAUGAACUUACAGAUUUCUGUCAUGCACAUGAAGUGUUCGACAGAAUGCUAGGGCAAGCUAGAGGACUCUGAUGGAUUUGAAACUUGGCAGGGUGGGGUCUCUUUAGAUGAUAGAGCUGGUGGUGAAUUUAGUUUGUCAAGAUGAGAAACGUGCUGGUGCAAGUUUUACCAGAAUUCAGUUCUGGACAGAAACUUUAGAGGCAUGUUUGGUGGACUAAAAAGAUUCCAAUGGAGCUGAUCUCCUGGAUUUAAGGUUUUGGUUGGGACGACUACAAGAUGGAAGAGUUUCAGAAUCAUUGGAGCUAGGAAAAAGAGGGUUGCAGUUAUAACUCAAGAAUGGGACAGAAUUUGAAAAGAGGAUGUUUCACUCAAACUUUUCAAGAGACAUAGCUAGGUUUUUGCACAAAAGUGAUUUAUAGGCAUCACCUGACUUCCCAUAAUUUUUUUGGGAUUUUAAAACAAAUAUUUAGAAUACUUGUAGUGCAACAGAAGCAUUUUAAGCAUUGAAAAUGCUAGUAAAAGAAUUGUUUGUGGCAAAUUUUACUAUGAAAAUGUUUCCUACUGUUAUUUAUGAUAUAAAUCAAAUGAUUUAAAAAACAACCAAGGACCACAACAUUUCACAAAAAUAAUCUUCUGUGGAGGGAAGAAUUUUGUAAAACAGAAAAUAGAAAAGCUCUGAAAUUAAUAACUGAGCUCAUAUAGCUCAAAAAAAUUAUUUCUGACCAAACUUUACUUAAUAAAAUUUGAUUAAAUUUUUGGGGUGUUACAAACUCUACCCCUCUUAAGAAAAAUCUCGUCCUCGAGAUUUGUUUAGGGCAGAAGAACUGAAUGCAAAUCACAACAAUGAUCAUAUGCAGAAUGUAAUCAUGGUAAUGCACUUACGACAUAUGCCCUAAAUUACAAUACAACGGUUGCAACACGUAAACUAGUGCUAGGUGCAACAACAAUGACCAUCUACGGUUCGAAGGUGAGAUCUACAGGCUCUUGUGGAAGGGUUCCCGGUGCUGUGGCACAUUCUUCUUCUUCCCGGGGAAGUGAAGGAUGUAAACGAAGAACACGCCCUUCCGGAGUUGGCCAUGGUGGUCCACCUAUGGCGAUGUGGGGAUUGAGGACAGUAAGAUAAUGGAGGUAAUCCAUUAGUUGCUGGGUUAGAUGCUCCUGGGCCAUCACAUACUGAAUGAGGUUGGCCAGAGCUGGGUCCCUUUCUAUACGUUCACAACGGAACGUGGCUUCUGCUCCAGAAGCUGCACGGCUCGGGAAAUAGUAGUAUUUCCUUUCACAGGCAGCGAGGUACAGUGAAUCAAAGACGGGUAACUGCUUCAUAAGCAACAGCCUCAAUAGCCAUGCCUGAGGUUGGCAUGGAUCUCCCGACGAAGACAACAUAUGGAGGGCCUUGAUUUAAAUCCUCUCGUGGGAUGUGCACAACUGCCCAGUAUUUCGAGGAAUCAGGGGUGAUCCUCAUUUUGAACAACUCAUACUGAGGUGGGUAGCUAGAACCAAGUGUAUUGCGGGUCAGAUCCCACAAAACCUUAACAAAACUACCAGGGCUUGCAUCUGGAGUUCGUAGGUAGGCUCCGGGGUGAGACAUGGAAGGAUGUAUAGAGAAGAGUGGUGCUCAAGUGUGGUGGUGGCUGGUGUGGUGCAUGAAUACGGCCCCUUAUAAGGUGCCUGGGUUAGGAAACACGAUGUGGCGCUGGUACGACUUGUGCAUCGGCUCCGACAUAGGGUUGUCCAAGUCAAAUUCUCGGACACCACUUCUCAAAAGGAGUGUGACGUAUUACUAUGUGUGUCGGCAGUUAUGUCUAGCAUUUACUCUGUCGCCACAUGCCAACCAUUUAUGCUAUAUCACACAUAGUACCAUUACAACAAUGGCACACAGGUAGUUUUACAAGCUCGCUACGCCAUGCGAUUGCUACCUUGAAAAUACAAGACAACAGGACUACUAGGAUUUGAUAACACUCCUGGUGGACUCAGUCCACCUCGUUGACAUCUAGUCGGGCGUGUCUUGUAGAUGUUGAGGCUUCUCCAUGAGCUUCAGUGUCGGAGUUGUUCGGGGUGGGAUGUGGAGUUGUAGUGCUGGGAUAGCGAUGAUGCCCCUCGUGGGGUCUCGUGGUCACAAUUCCAUUGGAGUAGGCCUCCAAGAGACGACGGAGUUCUCCUGGGGAGGCGAAGGUAUUGCCUGGAUAGAUGACAGGAGCAGACCUUGGGGCUCAACUGGCCUCCCAAGCAGCAUUACCGGGGUGUCAGUGUCGGUUGUAGCUUCACUUCUUACCGGUGUCAGGAGAGCAAGUGUCCUGCGAGUCGCAGUCAGAUCAUUAGUGACCUGAUCGAAUAGUGCCUCUUGCGCUCUCAGGUAGCGCACCAAAUGCACUAGAGCAGGAUCCGACCCAUGGUCUCCGUUGGCGACCUGGGUCGGGCUACCAUAGCCUUCACGACUAGGGUAGUAGAAGAAAGGGCGAGUGUUAACCCUUGGCGACAAAUGCCGAAGAUGAACCUCUCGGGCUGCAAGUUGGAUGGCUUGGUGCUCGUCAGAGGUUGUCCUCCCGGUGAACCGGUAGGGACGCUCUGAUGUGGUGCCCCUCCCGUAGAUGUGCACUGUGGCCCAGAAGUGAUGGAUGGCAUCACUUGUGUGUUCCUGGUACACAACAUAUUCUGGGGGUUCGUCUAUGCCAAAAUCGACGAGUGAGAUUGGCGAGGAUCGCUACGAAAUCUCCAAGCUCGGAUGCGGUGGUCUCGUUGCGGACGAUGGGACCAGGCAUCUUGGUGGUUUUAAAAUCAGGGUGCGAGUGAGAGUUGUGAUGUGCCGAGUUCGGGCAAGGCUUCCUUUAUAAGCCAGCGGAGUCUUCCAUCGCACGCUUGCGGAUGGGAUAACUCAGGUGUCGGCUACGGGCGCACGGCCUAUGGCCAAGGACGAUAGGUUGGGCACCGACUGUCAAAAAGAUGUCGGCUCGCCACCGUGCAGGCUAUCGGAUAGGAUGAGCUUGACGGUGGAUAAGAAAGGAUAUGGACGGUGUGGAAACCUAGGGAUAGUGACCAGACUAAGAUAGGAUUAGCUGGUGGUCAGCUUGGCUCUGAUACCAAGGUUGUCGGGGCUGGAUUUCCGGGACAUAAAUCCCAGUAAACGACCCUUGUGUCAUCACCAGCCCCAGGAUUACUGUUGCUGGUGGACAUUUCCUUGAUAUAGAAUUCCAAGCAAUUACAAGAGAUUGGAUACAAGACCACAAAGGUCCAAUGAAUAUAACAAGGAUCUCUAGUGGUGGAUGACGGAAGCGACUCGUGGAUCUCCAAUGUUGAUGGGACUCCAUUCCCACGGGAACAGCUGACCUGGAUAACUCAUAUCUCACGUGGCUGCUAUCUCCAAAUCCUAGGUUGCGGGGGAGUCUCUGUAAUGCUCCUCUCUGAGUCAUGAUCUGGCCAAGACAAUAGCCAGGGACAAGCCAAUGAGUACGUUUGAAUGUACUCGCAAACAUCAAGAACAAAAGAUAUACCGGAUGCAUAUGCUCAUGAUGAAUUAAAUUGCAUGCAUGUGCUGACUGAGUAUUAAAGCAUGGCAUGACAAUUAUUCAUACAGAAAAUAAGUCAUGUUAUUAGUAAAUCAAAGAAAUGAAAUGGAACGUUGGGCGUUGGACCGCCCAAGAAAUUCCAAGAGAAAUGACAAACGGGUAUCUAAAAGAGAAUUGGGCGAGACAAGACCGCCCGAGAACUCAAGUGACGCCACGAGAGGUCUUGAAAAGAAAUGCCAAACGGGUGUCUAAAAGCGACACCUCGUAAGGUCUUGAAAAUGAAUGCCACAGUCGGGUGUCUGAGCGAUGCCUCAUAAAGGGCUUAUAAGAAAAAUAAUAACAUGAGUAUCCAGGUGGACUAGCCAUCCCAAGUGAUACUCAGAAAUAAAAAAAUAAACUUGAGUAUCCCGGGUAGUCUAGCCAUCCCAAGAGAUACUCAAGGUUAAACAUAAGAGGAAAAGGUUAGUCCACAAAAAUAUUCAUAUCAUCAAUAAUAUUCAAAAUGGCACCAGUAGUGACAAUAAUUACCCUGCAGAACGGUCCAUGAUCAAUUUAGUUAUUUCCUCCGGAGACUGACACUAAGACCGACACUUGACCAACCCAGACUAUAGUCCUUAACCAUGGACACGGCUAUUCGAAUAGAUAUAACUCUGCAGAGGGUGUACUCUUUACCCACGUGUAUAGGAUUUCUUUAGCCAGCACCGAGACGCUGACUAAUUCCCGUUACGGCCUUUGGAUUGAAAACACACCUGACCAGCACACACCAGAUUAACUUUCCGGAUGCCAGGAAUCACCCAAAGCAUCGCUCAAGAGAAACUCUAAGGCGGGGAGACCAUCGUCUCGAGUAGCAUGGGAUCACUAUUAACACGCGCGGAUUACAAGGGGUGCCCCCCUCUCGGCCCAGCAGGAUACACCCAUGCCCCCUGGCCCGAUGACUGGCAUUGCAGCCGGUACCUGGAAACCCUCAUCGUGACCUCUCUGUACGGUGUGUGCAGGGAAAGGGGUUAACAACUUACUGAACUGUACCCAGGCUGUGGCCGGGACAAGUGGUAGCACGAAACCGGUAUGGGGGUUACCGGAACAAGACUCGAUCUAUGGUUAACUCAGGAGGUUUAAGUUUGCCUGCAGUGGUUAGCACAAUAUAAAUCCUUGGCAGUACCCAACAGGAUAACCACCUGGUAUGUCCCAACAUACCCUCAAUGAUUACUCUCGUCACAACGAGAUUUCAGUCUCACAGUCACUUUUCUCGUGACUGAUUCUUCCUGCAAAUUAUCCUGGACCAACACAGGCACAUAUGGAACGUGAAAGUAACUUUACUCACUUAUACUUCAUAUUUAAGUGAAAAGAAAAUACCAUCAAGGGGAUCAUGCAUGUAUGACCAACAAUAUGCAAACUCUAUAGGAAUUCAACAUGUUCAUAAUUCAAAUACACAUGCCACAAAUAAU
rnacentral:lncRNA from 1 species